rnacentral:misc_RNA from 1 species
AAGUCGUAACAAGGUUUCCGUAGGUGAACCUGCGGAAGGAUCAUUAAAGAGAAUAUGCCUCGGGUAGAUCUCCCACCCUUUGUUUAUAUUACUUUGUUGCUUUGGCAGGCCCGCCUUUGGACCACCGGCUUCGGCUGUCAGUGCUUGCCAGAGAACCCAAACUCUUAUAUUAUGUCGUCUGAGUACUAUAUAAUAGUUAAAA